rnacentral:rRNA from 1 species
GACGAACGCUGGCGGCGUGCCUAAUACAUGCAAGUUGAGCGCUGAAGGUUGGUACUUGUACCAACUGGAUGAGCAGCGAACGGGUGAGUAACGCGUGGGGAAUCUGCCUUUGAGCGGGGGACAACAUUUGGAAACGAAUGCUAAUACCGCAUAAAAACUUUAAACACAAGUUUUAAGUUUGAAAGAUGCAAUUGCAUCACUCAAAGAUGAUCCCGCGUUGUAUUAGCUAGUUGGUGAGGUAAAGGCUCACCAAGGCGAUGAUACAUAGCCGACCUGAGAGGGUGAUCGGCCACAUUGGGACUGAGACACGGCCCAAACUCCUACGGGAGGCAGCAGUAGGGAAUCUUCGGCAAUGGACGAGAGUCUGACCGAGCAACGCCGCGUGAGUGAAGAAGGUUUUCGGAUCGUAAAACUCUGUUGGUAGAGAAGAACGUUGGUGAGAGUGGAAAGCUCAUCAAGUGACGGUAACUACCCAGAAAGGGACGGCUAACUACGUG